GGGGGCGAAACAGGAUCGACAAGGGUGUAAAGAUCGCUCUUUUACUCGGCAUGAUACCACCGUUAUCGGGUCAAUUGAGUAGUUGCAAAUGACAACAAAGCUCAGGGUUAUGCUCUCGCUGCCUAAUGGCGGUGCGGGAAACCCACUCUAAAGCCCUUGGGGUUAGCACCUUAAGGCGGGGUUCGGAGGCACCUGGCAACAGAAGCCUCCACUU
rnacentral:tmRNA from 1 species